rnacentral:lncRNA from 1 species
UUUGCUUGUAAAAUAACUGGCUUUCAUAUGAUUAAGGUUAACAACUCUGGUGUGACCUCAUAUUUACUAUACUUCUGCCAAAUGCCAGGUGAGCCUAUAGACUGUCUUGUUCAUUACACAUAGCAACACUGUGAGCUAAAUAUCAUUAUUCCCACUUUCUACAUAAGGUAUUGAAUACUUGGAGAAUUGCAGGGUUUGUCCAAGGGCCCAGAACUAAUUUGUGUCAAAUCUAAAAUUUGAACCCAGUUUAAAUUCUUCAUACCCAUUACAUAGUACCUUUCUAAUCAAGAGAUGAAAGAUAUAAACAAAUAAUGACUGUUAUUCUACAGUGUGACCUUUGGGGGAAAAACUCACAACCACAGGAUUCCCACGGUUAAUUGAGUGGGAAUUUUCUGUGAAGCCUUAAUUAACCUUUUGUGUAUGGGUAUCAAAAGUCAACUGAAAUGGAACUAUAGUCAUUUUCAGUUUCCAUUGUUCUGGUACCAGUCCCCCAAAACUAGAAUGUUUUCUCUAGGGAUAUAUAGAAGGUAAGUUAUGGAAACCUUUCUUCAGAGCCCUAGACAUCACUGGUCCUAGCUCAGGCUGCUCUCUUUCACACCUGAACUCACUUUGGGGGACAGAACCCAUUUUCAGAAGCAGUAACAUGUUAGUAGCAGAAGCAGAAACUAUAAUGGCAUUGAAGUCAUCCCAGAGAAAAUGUGCUCAGCAGCUUUCUGGUAGCAUGCAAAUGCAGUACCUCAAUUCUUUAUUUCUAUGCCUUGCUGGGAAUGUAACUGAGCAGGGCACAAAAGCCUUUCUGUGUGCUUCAUUUCUUGUUUUUAGGAAAUGGGCCUCAUUCAUCCUUCAUGAAAUUCCCUGAGUUCCUAGAAGGAAGGGAGAAGCAAAGACAAGGGGGGAACAGUCAAGAAAGAGCAGUGCAGGCUUGGGAGCAGGAUCCUGGUUCCCUCUCAAGGAAUACACAUAAUGAUAUAGGCAUCUUAUGCCUAAUAGAAAAGUUAUACCUCAGAGAAAAUUUAUAUUCCUUAUGCUUCUUUAGAAAUGAAUACUUUAAAAUUAGAACCCCUCCUUGUCCUUCUCCCUGACUUAAUUGCACCCUGAACACAGUCACCUAAUAAGCUGAAGAUUGGGUACCCUGAGCACAAUUGGCUGUGGGUUAAAGAUUAUUAGCACAUGAUGUUUUUGAGGAACUUUCCUAGUUUGUUCUAAUCUCUGAUCAAUAUGCCCUUUUCACAAGUGCUGUUAUUCUAAGCAAUGACCCAGAAGAACACCAUUGUGAUCAUUCGAGGCCUCCUGAUGUCAGCUUUGAUGACUGAUUCCCCCAUCCCCCAUGCAAAGAAAGAAUGCAUGUCUGCCCCAAUCCUCAUUCCUCUCUGAAAACCUGUUUGUUUGUUUGUUUGUUUGUUUGUUUUUUUGCUUUUUACUAUAAAACUCCCUGCAAUUCUUCCCAAUGGGUAGCACAGUCUUUAAGGCAUUAGCCUGCUCUGUCCCCCUUUGCUUGGCAAAGCAAUAAAGCUAUAUUUCUCUCCUUCACCGCAAACUCUGUAUCCAUGUCUCUAUUUGGCACUGGUAGACAGAGGCCAAAUUUUGGCAACAGGAACACUACAGGAUAUUAUGAAUAUGGGAGAACCAGUAUCAGUAGUAAAGACCUAUAGAUACAGGAGCUGCUUAUGAACAUCAGAAGUCAAAAUAAAAUGAAGGAUUAAAACUGACAAUCAUUUCCCAGUGAUUUAAACUACUACUUUGUAUUACUACAGUUUUUGUUUACUGAAUCUUCUUGUAAGCAUUUGCAUUCAUUUUUUAGUGUUCAGAUUGCCAUAUUGGCCACAAUUUUUCUUCAUCCUGCUCAUGACUUGAUUAUUAAAAGCCUAUUUUUAAAAUUAUUAAAGUAUAGUUGAUUUAUAAUGUUUCAUCAAGUUCUGUUGUACCACUAAGUGACCCAAUCACACACAUUUCCCUGUGCUGUACAGUAGGGUCCCAUUGCCCAUCCAUUGCAAAUAUAACAGUUUGCACCCAAAAAAUGCCCCAAAUGUCCAUCCAUCCUACUCCCUCCCCUUUCCUCCUUGGGAACCCCAAGUCUGAUCUCUUUGGCCAUGACUGUUUCUGUUUGUUGGUUUAUUUAGAUAGGAUCAUCUCUUCCAUAUUUUACAAAUAAUGAUAUCAUAUGGUAUUUGUCUUUUUCUUUCUGGCUUACUUCAUUUAGCAUGAGAGUCUCCAGAUCCAUCCAUGUUGUUGCAAAUGGCAUUAGUUUGUCUUUUUUAUGGCUGAGUAAUAUUCCACUGUAUAUAUGUACCACAUCUUCUUAAUCCAUUCAUCUAUCAAUGGACAUUUAGGUUGUUUCCACAUCUUGGCUACUGUAAAUAGUGCUGCUAUGAACAUUGGGGUGCAUGUAUCUUUUUAAAUGAAAGUUUUGUCUGGAUAUAUGCCCAAGAGUGGGAUUUCUGGGUCAUAUGCUAGUUCUAUAUUUAGUUUUUUGAGGUACCUCCAUACUGUUUUCCAUAGUGGUUGUACCAAUUUACAUUCCCACCAAUGUAAAUAGAGGAUAUUACAAGCCUAAUAACCACAUGGUGAUAUACUGACCAUUUCAAGAAGCUAUCUGCAGUGCCUCAAAGUGGCAAAUUCUGACAAAUUUCAUUUUUGUCAUCAUUUUAGUUUAUUCCAUAAAAUUGAGGGUUUCUGAAUCCCUGCCCAAGGGACUAAAAAAAAGUGUGGAUAAUUUUGGUUUUGCUUGGUGAGAGGGAUGGGAGGAAGCGGGAUUUAAUUGCAUGCCUCUGUGCAUAUCAUAUGAUAAAUUAAUGCAUUUUAACCAAGCCAAAUAGAUCCUAGACAUUGGAUGCACCAAAUUUUGUGAAACUUGUAAACAUUUUACUGUCUAUAGAUUAAAAAGCCAAAUACCAUUGAAACUUCCUGGGCCCUUUAGCAUUAACAUUCCUGCCACUGAGACUCUGUCAGACAAAAUUCUAAUUCAUAGGCUGGAAAACAAUAAAAAUCCAAUACUAAAUACCUAGAAGUUGUCCCUAAAUUGUACUUAUCUCCAAAAUGAUUCCUAAAUUUUUUUUGUACAUCACUUCAGAAAACAUGCCUAUCCUUACAGUUCAGUCACCCCUCUCUCCACCACACACACUCACUGGGUAUUUGAGAUCUCUCCCAGAUCCAUGAACCAUGUCCACAGGGGCUGGGGGUGGGGGGUCUUGGGAGUCUUCUAUUUCUAGCUCUGACUACUUGCUUAAUUCUCAGUCUUGGACCUGCAACUGCUUGCUGAGUAUUAUGUUCAACAUGUAUUUACCAUACCCACUGUAUGCAAAGUACUUUAUAAAAAGGAGAGUCAACAAAUAGAAAACUGUGGGGUAGACAAUAUCUUUGUUUCAUAGGAGGAAUAGCAAGGCACAGGUUAUUAAUAAAAAACAAAUUUAAAUAGGUAGGAAAAACAAAACAAUAAAAAUUGUAUAUCCUAAAUGCAACCAUGUAUUAACUUGAAGUCAGAAACCUCCUUCUAUCACUGAUUGUCAGGAUUCAAUACUUUGAAGUUGAAAUGCUUUAUGGGUUGACUUGAAAUAACUCUUCUUUUCCUCUCCCAUAGACAGUAUUUUAGAAAUUUAGAUUUUUUUUUUUUUAAAUCUGACUACAUCCAAUGUGGUACUGUGUUAGCUUUUGUGAUGAGAACACAAUCCCAAGGAUGUGGGGGAAUUUGUUAUUUCUUUUUUUUUUCUUUUUUUAUAAUGAUUUUUAUUUUUUCUAUUAUAGUUUGUUUAUAGUAUUCUGCCAAUUUUCUACUGUACAGCAAAGUGACCCAGUCACACACACAUAUAUACAUUAUUUUUCUCAUAUUAUCCUCCAUCAUGUUGCAUCACAAGUGACUAGAUAUAGUUCCCUGUGCUAUACUGGAGGACCUCAUUGCUUAUCCAUUCCAAAUGCAACAGUUUGCAUCUACUAACCACAGACUCCCAGUCCAUCCCACUCCCUGCUCCUCUCCCUUGGCAAUCACAAGUCUGUUCUCCAAGUUCAUGUGUUUCUUUUCUGUGCAAAGGCUCUUUUGUGCCAUAUAUCAGAUUCCAGAUAUAAGUGAUAUCACUUCAGUAUUUUUCUUUCUCUUUCUUCACUUAGUAUGAGAGUCUCUAGUUCCAUCCAUAUUGCUGCAAAUGGCAUUAUUUUGUUCUUUUAUAUGUCUGAGUAGUAUUCCAUUAUGUAUAUAUCCACAUCUUCUUAAUUCAUUCAUCUGUCAAUGGACAUUUAGGUUGUUUCUAUGUCUUGGCUAUUGUGAAUAGUGCUGCAAUGAACAUACGUACGCAUGUGUCUUUUUCAAGGAAAGUUUUGUCUGGAUAUAGGCCCAAGAGUGGGAUUGUUGGGUCAUAUGGUAGUUCUAUGGUACCACCAUAUGGGUGCAUGAGUCUCUUUCAAGGAAUGUUUCAUCGGGAUAUAUGCCCAAGAGUGGGAUUGCUAGGUCAUACGGUAGUUCUAUAUUUAGUUUUCUGAGGUGCCCCCAUACUGUUUUCCCUAGCGGUUGUACCAAUUUACAUUUCCACUAACAGUGCAGGAGGGUUCUCUUUUCUCCACAUCUUCUCAAGCAUUUGUUAUUUGUGGACUUAUUAAUGAUGGCCAAUCUUACUGGUGUGAGGUGGUACCUCAUGGUAGUUUUGAUUUGCAUUUCUCUAAUAAUCAGUGAUGUUGAGCAUUUUUCAUGUGCUUAUUGGCCAUCUGUAUAUCUUCUUUGGAGAAACGUCUAUUCAGGACUUUUGCCCAUUUUUCCAUUGCUUUUUUUGCUGUUGGGUUGUAUAAGUUGUUUGUAUAUUUUAGAGAUUAAGCCCUUGUCAGUUGCAUUGUUUGAAACUAUUUUCUCCCAUUCCAUAGGUUGUCAUUCUGGUUUUUUUUGUUUUUGUUUUUGUUUUUUUUUAUGGUUUCUUUGCUGUGCAAAAGCUUGUCCAUUUGAUUAGGUCCCAUUGGUUUAUUUUUGCUUUUAUUUCUGUUGCCUUGGGAGACUGACCUAAGAAAACAUUUGUACGGUUGAUGUCAAAGAAUGUUUUGCCCAUGUUCUCUUCUAGGAGUUUAAUGGUGUCUUGCCUUACAUUUAAGCCUUUAAGUCAUUUUGAGUUUAUUUUUGUGCAUGGUGUGAGAGUGCGUUCCAAUUUCAUUGAUUUACAUGUGGCUGUCCAGUUUUCCCAGCACUACUUACUGAAAAGACUUUUUCCCAUUUUAUAUUCUAGCCUCCUUUGUCAAAGAUUAACUGACCUGGGUUGUUAUUUCUUACGAAUGGGCCUCUUGGGACACAAACUUCCAAGGCAGCAUCAAACCACAGACACUAGGAUAGAGGUGACAAGCCAAAAGGUGUAGGCUACAUGAGGGGGCAGAUGCUGCUUAACAGGUUUUUUAAAACUGCAAUGAGAGAAUCUUUAUUUUUAGAUUAAUCUGUCUGCAUUCUGAAAACUCAUUGUGACUAAAAUCAAGAGCGUUACACUGCUAGGCUGUUUUUUAAUAGAAACAUAAUAACCACAUUAAGAAAAGUAUCUAUGCUAUAUUACUUUCCUUCUGAUACUAAACCAUGUUAGAGCAAAGUAUACUUUACUGACUUAAAAUAAUACCAAUUUAUUUUCUUACAGUUCUGGAGGUCAGAAGUCCAAAAUCAAGAUGUCAUCAAGGCUGCAUUCCUUCUGGAGGUUCCAGAGGGGAAUUAGUUUUCUUGCCUUUUCUAGCUUCUAGAGACCACUUGCACUCCUUGGCUCAUGGCCCUUUCUCUACCUUCAAGGCCAGCAGCAUAGCAUUUUCCAAUCUCUCGUUCUCUGACUGUGACACCUGUUUCUCUCAAUACGUAUUCUUUUCUGAUGAUGGCCCUCCUGCCUUCCUCUCAUGAGGACCUUGUUACUACAUUGGGCCCACCUUGAUAAGCUUCCCAUCUCCAUCUCCUUAAUUAUAGCUGCAACAUUCCUUUUGCCAUUUAAAGUAACAUAUUUACAAUUCCUCGGGAUUAGGAUGUGGACAGCUUUUUUUUUGGAGGGGGUGUCAUUAUCUGGCUUCCCACAUAUGCCAUUUAUUUCAUUCUGGUCAAAAAACACUUUGGAGUAGUGUUUCCAAAACUGGCAUAACAUUUUCAGUAAGAAAUUGAUAAAUGAUAUUACAUAGAAGAUAAAAAUCAUGAAUCAUUCAUUCACUCAGCAAACAUUUGUGAAGUGUUCAUUCAUGCCAGGUACUGGGCAAGAAGAACUCUGGGGACUCAUAGAGCAUGUGAGGCUGUAGAGUGUAGUGCUUUUGAGCCAGGACCCUGGAGUCUAAUCAUCUGGUUUUGAAUCCUUGCCUCACCAUUUAUAUACUGUGUGACCUACACAAAUUACUUAAUCUCUCUGUGCUUCAGUUUUGCCACUUAUGAAACUGAGAUAAAACUAUAACUGUCCCCCACAGGGUUCUUGUGAAGAUUAAGUGAGACUCUUGAUAAUGCCUUUGGUACAAUGACUGGCAUGUAGAAUUCAGUAUGCUGGCACUGAGGAGGAACGAGAAAACAAUAGUGGAGUGUAAGAGUGCAAAAGGGCCACAGGGAAUUUGGAAAGGCUUCCAGAGCAGGGUCUCGAAAGUUGAGUUUCUGGGAAUCACUGAGGAGAAAGAAGGGAUAGGCAGUGAGAAGCCAUAGUACAGAAUCCGAGGAAUGGCUGAGAAGACUGGGGGACUUUAGCUUAGGAGAUUUAGGGAAAGGUUUAGGAGUUUCAUGAGAACUGCAUUUAAAUCCUGUUGUUUGGGCAGCUGACACAUCAAAAAGAAAUUAGACUUAUUUUACUUCUAUUCCAAAAAAUAUCCAAGCACAAAUGGAAAUGACAAAAACAACAUUCACCUCAAUAUUUGAAAGAGCUUGUGAACAAUAAGGUUUCCUUUAACUGGGUCGAGGAGGGGAAUGAUAAUAAACAUUUCUCUGUGUUCCUCUGACUGUCAGGUACACUGCCUUCUUUAUGGAAUAGUCUGUCUUACAUCCAUUAUCCCUUGUACCCUUGUCAAGUAUUUUAAGGAUUCAGUGGGCCCUAGACUUUAAGGGAGACUGAGCUUUAUACAGUCCCAGAGUGUAAAUCAGGAUUGUUUAGAGCCAACUAUGGUAACCACUGCUUUUGUGGUUGAAGAGGUUAGGAAAGUGCAUACAAUACAAUUCCUGCCAAUGAAGCAGGAGAGGGAGGUCUUUGGAAAAGUUUUCCUUACCUCCUCAAAAGAUAAAUGGGGAAAAAGAGAGCUCUCCAUUCCUCUUCCAGCUAUAAGACGUCAAGCCAAUAUCUGAGGAAGGUAGAACAAGAAGACAGAAAGGGUCUGGAUCCUUGAUGAAAUGGACUACCUGAUAAAAUACAUGACCCUGGAAUCAUUGUAAACUAUGGCAGUUUAUUAUAUAUUUGUGCAAUAUAUUAAAAUACACUCGGGAGUUCCCAUCGUGGCUCAGUGGUUAACAAAUCUAACUAGGAACCAUGAGGUUGUGGGUUCGAUCCCUGGCCUUGCUCAUGGGUUAAGGAUCCGGCAUUGCCAUGAGCUGUGGUGUAGGCUACAGAUGCAGCUCGGAUCUGGCAUUGCUAUGGCUGUGGCGUAGGCCAGCGGCUGUAGCUCCAAUUAGACCCCUAGCCUAGGAACCUCCAUAUGCCAUGGGUACAACCUUAAAAGACCAAAAAAAAAAAGGCAAAAAAAAAAAAAA